GACGAACGCUGGCGGUGUGCUUAACACAUGCAAGUCGAACGGUAAGGCCCUUUCGGGGGUACACGAGUGGCGAACGGGUGAGUAACACGUGAGUAACCUGCCCUCAUCUCUGGGAUAACAGUCGGAAACGGUUGCUAAUGCUGGAUAUGAGCCUGCAAGGCAUCUUGUGGGUUGGAAAGAUUUUUUGGUUGGGGAUGGACUCGCGGCCUAUCAGCUUGUUGGUGAGGUAGUGGCUCACCAAGGCUUCGACGGGUAGCCGGCCUGAGAGGGCGACCGGCCACAUUGGGACUGAGAUACGGCCCAAACUCCUACGGGAGGCAGCAGUGGGGAAUAUUGCACAAUGGACGGAAGUCUGAUGCAGCAACGCCGCGUGCGGGAUGACGGCCUUCGGGUUGUAAACCGCUUUCAAUUGUGACGAAGCUUUUUGUGACGGUAGCAGUAGAAGAAGCACCGGCUAACUACGUG
rnacentral:rRNA from 1 species